CAUAGGUCAGCAGAAAGGUUUUCACUAAAUUCAAAGAACUGAAUGUAACUAUUCUUGUAAAGCCACUAAUUAUCCUCAAGGGCAUAAUUCCUGUCACUUUAGCAACUGGAGAGCCCAGCUACACCUCCAGUUCUUCCAUUAAAGGCAGCAAAGGCAGCCAGCCACCUCUACAGGAGAUAUAAAUUUGUGAUCAGUCAAUUAAUUUGUUAGCAGCAGCAUCAACAGAGACUGUAUUGAUUCAACAUGAGGAGAAUAUAUUGAAAUAUCCAGGCUGAAGUAAAAUAUGCCCAACAGAGGGGAACACCGAGUACCCUGCUGACAUUUCCAUGGGAGGAGAGAAUGCUUUAUACAGGAAUACAGUGGGAACAAAAUCAAAAGCCAUUACCUGGAAUUGAUGCAGCCAAUGUAAACCAGAGCAGCUGGUGGUCCAAGCAAUGGGAAAUUUUUAGAUUACUCCAUAAAUUGAUGCAGCUUGUCAGAAAAUCAGGCAAGGAGCUUGGAUGCGAGUGAAGCUUAAUGAAGUAGGGCCUCUAUAUCAGCAUUUCCUUAUUCCUACUCAGUCUUUACAAAGCUGAUGCAAAAUAAAAUCAAAUUGAGCCAGUGGUAGUGCUGUGCUUUCAUGCAGGUCUGUAGGCACCAAGCAGGAAAUAGUGCUGUUCAAAACUGGCUCUUCAGAAGCAACCCCACAUACUGACAUGGGAACAUGGGUACAUUUCCCAUGCCCACUGGACAUAAAUCUUACACUCACCCAUGUUUCAACAGAUGAAGUGGCAAAGGAGCACUUUGUGGUGUGUGUUCCUGAGCAACUGAAGGUUCCUUAAGUUAUGUCUGCAGCACAGCCAACCCUGCUCUGCCUGUCCAAAGGAAAGAGAGGAUGGAUUCACUGAAUUCUUGCAGCAAAAGUACUGGCCCAGGAAGGACCACUUCUGACCCCAACACCUCCUCAGAACAUGAAGAGAGGUUAACACUCUGCACUUUCCCUUGACAACCACAGUGCUUGGAUAUAAUCAAAGUGGGAUAAUCCACAAAACCUACUCCCUACCAGCAGCUCCAAGCAAAAGUAUGCCAUGUAGCAUAACUUCAGGAACAACUGGUAAGUUCAUAUAUGCAGGAACAGGGGAGCUUCCUCAAUUGUAAAGCUGGUUUCAGGACUCAGAACAUAUUUCCCCCCCACCCACCCCCCCAGCCCCAGGAGAAUAUUAAUUACACCAUCAGCAUGAAG